rnacentral:rRNA from 1 species
ACAUGCCUUAAGCAUAACGUUAAUGCACCAGAUCCCAUUAGAACUCCACAGUUAAGUGUGCUCAAGAUAAAGUAGUAUUGGGAUGGGUGACCGCCAAGGAAGUCCUAGUAUUUUGCAUGCC